rnacentral:rRNA from 1 species
GUGAGGAAUAUUGGACAAUGGGCGCAAGCCUGAUCCAGCCAUGCCGCGUGCAGGAAGACGCAUCUAUGGUGUGUAAACUGCUUUUGUACGGGAAGAAACACUCCCUCGUGAGGGAGCUUGACGGUACCGUAAGAAUAAGGAUCGGCUAACUCCGUGCCAGCAGCCGCGGUAAUACGGAGGAUCCAAGCGUUAUCCGGAAUCAUUGGGUUUAAAGGGUCCGUAGGCGGUUUAAUAAGUCAGUGGUGAAAGCCCAUCGCUCAACGAUAGAACGGCCAUUGAUACUGUUAGACUUGAAUUACAAGGAAGUAACUAGAAUAUGUAGUGUAGCGGUGAAAUGCUUAGAUAUUACAUGGAAUACCAAUUGCGAAGGCAGGUUACUACUUGUGGAUUGACGCUGAUGGACGAAAGCGUGGGGAGCGAACAGGAUUAGAAACCCGGGUAGUCC